rnacentral:rRNA from 1 species
UACGAAGGGGGCUAGCGUUGCUCGGAAUUACUGGGCGUAAAGCGCACGUAGGCGGCUUUCUAAGUCGGGGGUGAAAUCCUGGAGCUCAACUCCAGAACUGCCUUCGAUACUGGAGCUUGAGUCCGGGAGAGGUGAGUGGAACUGCGAGUGUAGAGGUGAAAUUCGUAGAUAUUCGCAAGAACACCAGUGGCGAAGGCGGCUCACUGGCCCGGUACUGACGCUGAGACGCGAAAGCGUGGGGAGCGAACAGG